GACGAGAUAAAGAUUUUAUCCACUCAAUCGAUGCCGAGAUAAAUCAUAGAUCUCGUGAAGAUGCAUGUUAUAGGAAAUAUUUUCAUUUUAUUUUUUAUUUACGGAACAGAUGUAGACACAUUUAUAGGAAGGUUCAGGGAUCGACUACGAAUAGGAGUGUCUAGCCACUAUAAAAGGCAUAUUGAAUUGAUUAAAAUUUUUAGUUUUAUUCUUUAUUAUUUGUUGAUGACUCAUUUGUCUCACAGAAAG
rnacentral:lncRNA from 1 species